AUGCAUACAAUUUUAUCAUGUUUAAGCCAUGUGUUUCCGAUUUUGCAGCCUAAUGAGCUCAGUCAAAUGUCUGAAAUCCUGUCGUAUUUCUUUUGCCAGAUCUGCAAUGGCCUUAACAAAACACAUUUUGAGUUGCAUUAUAUUGCUUUUUCUAACAAAGAAAAAGAAGGCAGCAAUAUCCUGGAGAAAGAAAGGAGAGAGAAAGUGAGAAAAUCACAAUGGGAUAAUUCAGUUGUGCACCAACAUUCAUAGACCAAUUCAUGAGGAAAAAAGUUUGACAUCAAAAUAGUCUGGAUUUCUUUCCGUUUGAAAAUGAAAAACAGACAAAGAAAUGUAAGAAUAGCUUUGUGUAGCUAAAUUAAUCUACCUUAAUCCCGUUGACAUCAUUUGCAUCACAUUACAUGCUUCUAAUUCUGUAAUCCAGCAUCUGAAAUCAAUAUGACUUCAUCUUUAAAACAGCCCUUGUUUUAUAAAAUAAUGAUACUCUCCAACUUAUUUAGAAUAAUUUCAUGUUGUAUCGCAUAGACAAAUCAACAUUUUCCAUGCUGAAUGAACGUUCUCCAAUUUAUUGAAAUGUAAAAGAGAAAAAUCUUUGUUUCAAGAAGAGAAAAUCUUUGUUUUGCCUACAUUUGUAAUAAUCACCGCCCAUUCUUUGAUUAGCAUAUCUAUCUCAUUAAAUAUGAAGUUCCUAUUUUUUGCUGGAAUGAAAUUUUGAUCUCAGCAGGAAAAUAUAAUCACGCUGAAAGUAUAUAAGAUGCCAAAUGCAUUAUUUGCAUCUGUUUCUCAGUUUAAAAACUCUUAAUUAGGGGAAAUGGUGCAAUCAGAUUCUGUGCUGAUGGGAAUCAAGGAAUUAUAUGUCAUGUCAAAGAGUGGCUUCACAAAGAGUUUACAUCAAGAUUA
rnacentral:lncRNA from 1 species